GUUAACAACUUGUAACAAGCUUGAUGGCAUUAUCAGACUUGUUGCAAGGUUGUUCCAACAAGUCCGAUACAGUCAUGAUAUAACAAUAUUGUUACAACCUUGUGUCGUCAACCUUGUAGCAUUCUUGUUAUAUCAUGACUGUAUCAGACUUGUUAGAACAACCUUGUAGCAAGUCAGAUAAUGCCAUCAAGCUUGUUGCAAGUUGUUAAC